AAUAAAUGCAGUCUUGCACUGUUCAUGCCCAACGUUUGACCAUUCGUCUUAUUUGAAAAAAAAAUAUGGUUAAUAUUUUUAUUGUUAUUAGGUGUUAAAACAUGAAUAUUACUUUAUGUGUGACUAAUUUUUUUAUUCUUUCAUAAAAUUUUCAAAUAAGACGGACGGUCAAUAUUAAUGUUGGAUACGGAUACCCACAGUUGCAGUUAUU
rfam:Oryza punctata chromosome 4, whole genome shotgun sequence.